rnacentral:lncRNA from 1 species
UGUAGCUAUAGACUUCAGUUUACCUUCAUUAGUCUUUAGCUUUUCUACCUCAUUGCCCAUACUGUCCACUUUCAGUGAAAGCGUAGUUAGGGUUUUGAGUAUCACUUCUAAUGUAUCAUUUUUGUUACAUUAGUCUGUGUAACUUUGUCUUGAUAUGUAAUCUGCAAUAACAUUCUUGUUAGUACUAAUUAUUUCAACUGUAAAUGUAAAAUUCAAUAUAUUUAAUACCAAUGUUCGUAUUUCUUUUGUUGUUACUAAAUUUUGUAUUUUCUUAAUUAGCCACCAUCAUACUUGUGUAUUAUCUGUUCUUA